UACGAGGGGGGCGAGCGUUGUUCGGAAUUAUUGGGCGUAAAGGGUGCGUAGGCGGUUUCGUAAGUCCUGUGUGAAAUCUUCGGGCUCAACUCGAAGUCUGCACGGGAAACUGCGGGGCUUGAGUGUGGGAGAGGUGAGUGGAAUUCCCGGUGUAGCGGUGAAAUGCGUAGAUAUCUGGAGGAACACCGGUGGCGAAGGCGGCAUCCUGGACCGGCACUGACGCUGAGGAGCGAAAGCCAGGGGAGCAAACGGG
rnacentral:rRNA from 1 species